GAUCCCUCCUUUGGGGUUUUACAGUGAGCCCAGGACAAGGGCUCUAUUUACUGGAAUGCCAGUAUGAUUUUCUGUGGAGACAGAACAAUAAUUCAGUUCCUCUCAGCUAGCUGUUGAAGAGGAUGAUGUACAGUUUUCAUCCAGACGCUGUGAUUUCUUCUGGCUUCUACAACAUUAUACGUUACCAUGUGGAAGGUGGAUUUGAUAAUCAAGAUUCAUACGUAAUUAGCCUACAAUGAACAGCUCUUCUAUUCCCUGUGACCUUGCAGACAGUUAUAUCUAUGUCUGUGAUGUUUCUUCUGUGAACCAGAAGUGACCAAGCUGAUGGGCAAGUUCUCACCAGCACAAAUUUUGGAAAAGUAGAAAAAAUUUAAGAAACAUGAGUGGAGAAAUGGGUGAUGAAUCUGGGAAUGAGAGAAACGGAGAGUUGAGGACUUUGAGGAUGCAGAUCUGAAGGUGCUCAAGGAGCCUUUAGGCUCAGAGGAGAAGAGACAGGGAAGCAGGAAUUCAGGUGCGAUGGAGAGGCCUGGAGUGCAGCAGGAUGAGAAGACAGUGCUGUCAGCUGCUGUGCCCAAAGCCAAGCCUGAGCACCGUGUUUAUUUUCUGGAUGGGAACAGCAGGUGAAGUUUUUGUGUGGCAUGGAGUGUGGGAGCAUUUAGCCCAGGGCUGCAGUGCAACAAGGCAUUAGGACAUUAAGGCUUUGGCUUAUUUGAGGCCUUACAUUGCUGUGCUGUAUUUCCAUGUAAGAAGACUAAGAAGAUGACUUCGUUAAGUACUUUUCUGCUUGUGUAACUGUGUCUGUUCUAAGGAUUGUAAUCAAAUGGGUAAAAGGCUUGAAAUAGUGAAGAGCCAGAGGCCUGCAGGUGGGGAUGUGAUGUGAAGGGCAGAAGAUAACAGCUGUAAGGCUUCUUGGUAAAUGGCUACAGGCCACUGCGUAGCCCUGUUUUAGACACUGAACAAAAGUUGGGGGCACGGAUUGAGCUCUGUAGUGCUGCUGUGAAAAAUGAGAGUUACUGAAAUGUUGUUUGUGCCAAAGAUGGGAAUAGUUUGGCAGCCAACAGCUGUCUGGUUAUAGUCAAAAUGUCCACUACUAAGGCCUUUGGAUUAUCCAGCAACCAGAGAUACUCCAAUUCUUUCCAUUCUUUCACCUCUUACAAACACUCCCAUGAAGAAAAAAAGCUUUGAAAGAAAUGCUGGGAAUUCUGACGUUUUGCAGUGUUGCACAACAGAGAUGAUUAAAAAAAAAAA